GUCCCUGUAGCGCAAUAAAUAGCGCGUUGGACUUCAAUUCCAAAGGUCGUGGGUGUUCAAAUCCCGCAUGGGAUA